ACCGCCUCCAGGCAUCAACACGUAACUGCUUCCAUUUGAUGGGUGAGGAUAGGAUUGAUUACUUGAAUAUCCGGGCAUGCCCAUAGGUGGAACAUAGACUGGUGACAGAAACUGGCGAUAUGGCAUAAGGUUAGCAUAAUGUGAAACAUGAACUUGUGGAUACAUCUGCGCAAUAGAACCUCAAGAGUUGUGAUACAUUACCAAAUGAACUUAGUCCAUAAAUUUAGCUUUCCAUGGCAAUGGAAGAACAAACCGAAAACGAAAACUAAAGAAGAAGUGAAACCCUAGCAGAGCAAAAAGAGGAGAAAACGAAAAAGGUUGUGUUUCAAAGUGAGGAAAAGUAAAGUGUGUGUGUUUGGAGUGGGGAAUCCGAAUUUAACCCCUCCAACACACAUAAAACCAAAUUGAGCUUAAACAAUGGGCCCAAGGCUAAAUUACAAUAAAAAACUCCUAAAAUAAAAAUACAAUCUUCACUUCGACACAUAUCCUCCACUUCCAUAAUGCCCAAAAUGUCAUUGGUGCCAAAUAUGAUCUGAAAAUGAUAAUAGAUUUAAUGAGGCCAAAUAAUCCCAAAUUAACUUAUUUUAGGGAUAUUAGUCCAAUAAAGUCUAAAACACUAAACCAUGUGAAACAAAGUCAAUUAGGCACCAAGAAUCAUCAAUCAUGCUAAAUUAAGGUUAUGAAUAGUGUGUAAUAUAUUGUUCAUCAAAAUACAUGUUGAGUUACUCCUCUCAUUGUCAAUUAGUUUUGAGAUGAAAUAUUGACAUGGUAUGAGAGUCACACCCAACUUCUCUCUAGUUCUUAUCGGCUAAAAGAGGUCUUUUAGUUAUUGAUCAAAUAUAACCCUUUUGUCCGAUCUUGUGGGUUUCUACGGAGUGAACAUGUUAGAAAGUAAGUCACACAUCACCUAUUCCCAUGUCUCGAUAUAGUUUAAAUAUCUAUUGAAUUAAUCUAUCAUUAUCAAUUAAUUUUGAGGUGAAAUAAAAAUAUGGAUGCAGAUGUUACACUUUAUGAUACAUUGUGAUGUAUUCCGAUUUGUUUGAUACCCAUGUUCCAAAUUACAGCAAAUAGAAUAAACACACGGAUGGCAUUGCAUGAUUUGACAUGUUCAAUAGUUCUUAGUCAUGCAACAAUUUGACACCAACCAAUCAAUGCACUAGGAAAUAUGGUGGUUUCCACACAUUGGAGAUAUAAAAUUCAUGUUAUUUGUUUCACCUUUUCGAAAAAGAAAGAGAUACAUCAGCUUCAUGUGAUAUCUCUCCACACUACAAACACUUUGUGAAGUUGCAUGGUUGAUAACCAUUUUACUAAGGCAUGCCGUGCCUCCAUCAUUUCUUCUACAACUUCAUUUCAAAUCGUGGGUCACCCCCAUAACCUUAGAUUCAAUCAAAAUCAAACAUUGCUUUGGUAUGUUUUGAUUAUUUCAGUACGUAAUAAAACCACUUAUAUGAAAAAUAAAGCAAGAUUGGUUUUGGUGCCUAUCUGUUUAACUACUGAUGCACUAUUUUUAUGUAAAAUGGUUUAAAAUCAUUAAAAAAAAACCUUGCUUCAUACAUAGAUUAUUUCUACCAUACUUUAUCAUGUCUAUGAAAAAACCCAAGCUAGAGACCAACACACGCGUACUUUUUGCUUAAGCUUGUGAGAAAUUUCUCUAACUAAAAUACAACAUUAUGUAGCUACAACUUAAAAGAUUAUAACACUAUAAUUAGUUGGUGAUUAUUAGGAAGCACAAGAUAGAGAUGGGCAAAUAUUAGAAGAUAUAUCAACAAAAAACAACACAAUUGGGAGAUGAUUGACUUCAUUUAUAACGACAUUAUUAAAUGUUUGUCGUGUAUAUGUAAAGCAAAUUUUAUUAUCAAAGGCAAAACUCACUUAGAUUAUUUUUCUCUCAAAAGGAAUUAACCUUGACUAGGGGAAGAACUUUGGUAAAAAAAAAAUAAAGAACAUAAGGAUGACUUCUGUGCAUGGUAGCAUGAAGCAUAGACAUAGAUCGAUAAGCUAUAUUGACUGAAAUUUUCUUUUUCUCCAUUAUAUUUUUAAUUUGCUAGUACAUUUAUCAACUAUUAUUCCUAGAUUUUGUUUUAUAUAUUAUCUCACACCAAUGAAAAUAUGAUAUGUUAAUUAAAAAAUUUAAACAUUCAUUAUUAUUGUUAUUUUUGUUUCAUUAUUAUUGAAAUGAGACAACAUAUUGGAUAAGAUGUGAGACAACAUAUUUCUAUUCCAAUAAUUAAUGGUUUUAUUAAGAAACUUGUUAUAGAAUAAUAGUGUGAGGAGAAUGUAAAGUUUGAGCGGUAAAAUAAACAAAAGGCUUUUCUGAUGCGCAUUAUCAACAUGUAUUAAGGAGACUUAAGUUUACUUGAGAAAAAACUAAUUAUAUUAAGAUAUUAAAUACAUAUUUUUUCAAUGAAUCUUUUCCCUUGAUACCCUGAAAUCAGUCCCAGUAAAUGGUAAAAAAACUGCUUGAGUUAUUGCAGUCUGAAUAGUGAGUGUAGGAAAAGUGUAAAAUGGUGGAGGCAAAAUGUAGGGCUAUAUCUAAAGUCUAGAUGUUCCAAUUUUGGGUUGGCAAUUUGAGUGCUACCCAUGUAAUCGAUACCCCACCUACAAACACUAAACGUGCUCAACCUAUGUAAGGAGGCAGCGAUAGAAAUAUCAACUUUAUAUAGUUUAAAUGGUUUGAUUCAUGUAGCACAUACUAGUACUCCCUUAUUUUUAGUAUGGUUAGAACUUUAAGCAAAUGAAGGGAGUUUAACUCAAAAGACUAAUCUUAUAGAUGAGAGAGUCUUGUAGCUUAAGUAUUAUACUGAGUUUAUUAUUCUACUAAAUGUGGGACUCCCGAUAUAGUAUUAUGCAUGGAAAAAAUUAAUGAGGGAUCUAGCUUUACUAUAUUGUAGAUAUUCUCUAUUGACAAAAUUCUCCCAUGGAGAAUACAUCAUCCGAUCAGAUAUAAAAUAGAGAGGGAGGGAGAGAGAGAGAGAGGGAGAGAGAGAGAGAGAGGGAGAGGGAAAGAGAGAGAGAGAGAGUAACACAAUUUUCAACAUAUAAAACUUGUAUUGUUGUAUUUUUUUCAUAAGCAAAGUUUUCGAUGAAGUGGGAGUGAGAAUUUUACAAUUAUAGGGAUUUGAACACAUAUACUCACAUCUUAUGUUUCAUAGCUCUACCGAAUGAGUUGUAGCUUGUGCACUUUAUUCUCGUACUGUAUAUUAAGCUCCUAGAUCAAGUGUCAUAUGGUUGUUUUAACCUAAUUUAAGGAGUCAAAUUCAAAUCAUUGGAAAUCAAGUUGCUUUAAAUAAUUGAUAAAAAAGGUUUAUAUACAUAAUAAUUCUAUCAAAAACAAAAAUUUACUAGAGCUAAGAAGUUUAGCUACCACAUGAAAGAAUGAGUUGGAAAAAUAGUACAUAACAAAUUGCUUGAUCUUGGUAUCUAAACGUGCACUGGUCCUUCCCUUGAGACUCAACAAGUUUGUUAAGCUCAAUAAACGAAGAUCCUCUAAUCCAAAAUAAUUUUGUUUAUAUGUCCUCAUCCAAUAGAAUUAUACUAAAUAAUAUAAAAUAUUAUUUCAUGUUUUUAUCUUUUAUUUUUCAAUUAAAUGACAAAAAGAAAAGGGUACAGCAAUCCCUAGGUGAAACAAAGCUAUGGUUAUGUCGUUCCAUCCUUCCCUUUCAACUCUCCACACUCCAUGUUAAAAGAGAAACAUAUAGCGACAGAAUAAAGCACCCCAGUCUCUCUUUUUUCAGCAAACAAAAGAAAAAUUUUAUGAAAUGAUUUUUGUUUUAUUUCUUAUUUAACCUUUUUUAAUAGAUUGGAAGUUGAUUGAGAAAUAAGAUGCUUUUAAUAUGUAUUUAUAUGGAUAGUAUUUUAUUACAUAGUGGUUAGCCAUUUAGACAUUACGUUGUUUUCGAGGAAAUGAAAGGCUUGAGAAUUAUCAGCAAAUAUAUUUCAUAACUCUCAAGUCAUUCAUUAUUUAUUAUCAAUAAUCAAACUCACAAAUAAACAUUUCGCUAAAAUAACAGAUUUUCUACAAAUAAAUUCUGUACACUAUUUGGUGUUUUAUUUUCUUCAUGGAUGAAUUUGUGUCAAGAAAAGAUUUGUAGGAGCGAAAUUAACCAUUUACCAAAAAAUAAUAAAAACUUAUAUUGACCUUUCGGUUUUUAAAAUGGUUUUCUAAUCAUCUAAACCCAAAAGAUAAAUUUAUUUCAACUCUUGUUUGGUUGGAAAUAAACGAAUUUUAAACACGAUCCAACUAAGGUUUUAUUAGACAUCCUUGAGAAAUUACUAAUGUUAUUCGGACUCAACGGUAUAAUAGGUAUUCAUCUUUAGGAACACGGAAAAAGAAUGAAAGGGGGAUAAUAAAAAAGAAACAAAGAUGUGGAUGGAGAAGUUGAAGGAAAUUUGAUGGAAGAGUGGGGGGGAGGGAAUCUCCUUAAAUUAUAUCAUCAUUUUUUGGUAUAACUAAAGGUAUCAUUUUGGGUAAGGAAUUACUUCAUUUCAAGAUACGUAGUUGUCCCUAUCAACAAAUGUCAUUUUUAGAAAUUGAAUCUUUGACCUUUUAAUUAUCCUAAGGAUUUAAAGGGACCUUAGAUCAUUAGACCAACACAUUAUAGGUAAUCUUACAUUCAUUUUAUUAUGAGAAGCUAGCUAUAAAAGCCAUGCAUCAUCCUAGGGCAAGAGCAAAAUCAAAACACAAGAGAAUUUGAAGAAAAAAUCCUCACAUGUGUGAGAAAUUUCUUUUGAGACAAAAAUGGAAAGAGAAUGUAGUCACCAAUAUUGUUUGGUACCAUUAAUAUUACCACUUUUGUAAUCCAUUAAAACCUAUAAUGAAGUAUAUUUUUUGUUGUCUCAUUGUGAUUGCACCUAGUGGGUGAAGUUCCAUAUUAAGAUAAUUCAAUUAUUCAUUUCUUGUGUUAGGUGAUUAUAUUUGGCGUAGCUAACAUGGUCCUGAAAACAUCUUAUUAUUCAUUUCAUAUUCAAUUAUUCAUUUCUUAUUACCAGUUAAAUAUAUAUGAAAGAACAACAAAUUAGACUAGUGAUCUAAGGCUUCAAAUUCCCAGCAGAACAAAAGGUUAAGGAUUCUACUUGUAUAAUUAAAAAAGAUUAAUUUCUUAAUUAUGGAGUGAUGAGAUAUCUUUGAUUAUACCCAAAAAAAAAUUAAAUAUAAAUGACAAUCUUUGAAAUCAACAAUUUAAAUGUUUGUGACCAUUUAAAUUUUUAUUGUCAGAAUUAAAAACAAUAUAAUUAUUUUAUAAAUUAAAAUUAUAAACUUAUUAUUGUGCAGAAAAAAUAAUAGUAGAAUAAAGAGGUGAUAAAAGUUGAGAACCCUAAAAAUAAAUGUGAGAAGUUUCACUUAAAAUUGGCAUGAAUCCUUCAAUAUCAUAACUUGAUUGUAGAAAUACACAGAAUCCUCCUAGGGAGGGUUUUCAACAUUGGAAGCUUUUCAAUCCAGUUCUGGUUUGACGAUACUCAAACAUGCCGGAACUCAUUUAUAUAUACUAGUGUGUAUAGACACUUCAUGCCUGUCAGCGAAUAUUGUAUAAUACUACAUAUUCAAUUUUUAUAUAUUAUAUUUUUUUUUUAUGAUAAUAUUUAAGGUGAGAUAUGUGGUUAAUUAAUGUAUUUGUGGUAGUUGUUUAGGACUAUAUAGUUUUUUUUGUAAAAAUUAAAUAAUAUUAAGGGCAAUAUAGGAAAUGAAAAUUACACCCAUAGGGGAGUAUAGAUAAAGGUUUUACAAAAAAUAAUCUUAUAUAUAUGUUCCGGUUGGAAGCUGAAAUGGAUUAAGAGUCAGGGAACCUGAAACCCACAUGGGACAGGGAUGGGUUCAUUCUUUCAAUCCCCCAAUGAAUUUGGGUUCGGGAUUUCAGGUUGUAAAAGGUGAAACCCACCCGGACCUAUCAUGCUGUCAUCACUAGUCAAAACUCCACAAUUCACAAACCUCCCAUGCAAAUAAAUGAGAAUGAAAAUUAAAUGCCUCAAUGCAUUAGAGAAAAUAAAUAAUAUUUAUAUUCAUUUCACAUGAAAACUGCAUUUUUCUAUAUCUACUUCAGUCCCUUGUACACAGGGGUUAGAGAUUCAAUUUCUCUUUCUUUUUUCUCCUUCAGAAAUUUGUUGUCCAAUUGAGGUGACCCAUUUGGGGCUGCUGAUAUGCACCAACCUGUGCUCCGGGGGCAGCUGCAGCCACCCCGACUCCGACAUUAUUUCCCAUUGGUGGUCCUAAGUGGUGAGGACCAGGAAUGGUUGCUGGCUGUGGAGGAGCAUGAUACAUGCCGGGGAACUGCAUGUGAGAAGAUUGAACUGCAGCUGCAUUGAAGGAAGCAUGACCAGUGUGCGAUGGCAUGUAAGCGGCAUGAGCCGCUUGCCCUUGCAUGUUAUAGUAUGGAGUGGAUUGCAUGUCCCUUUGAUUCUGUAACCAGAUUUCUGAUGUCUCAGCCUGUAAAUAGGAAAUAAAAUCACAAAUUAAAUUUUAGUCUUCAAAACAAACAGAAAGAAGGAGGUAGAUCUCGGAGUAAUGAUAUAUCCUUCUACAAAAUCAACCUACAAAUCCUCCAACACAUUGAUGGUGACAUAUGUCACACACUCACUUGUAAGCCAAUCAUUAUUAAACAAAGUACAAUUUUAUGAUGUGUCAUCAUCAUAAUGGUAAAGCAAAGCUGACAUUACACUACAGGAAAAAAACAUAUAGCAAGGUAUUAUUAGCUUUGUGCUGAGUAUUAUCAUUGCUUCCUUUUGCAAACAUUCAAAAAAAUUGCUGUUACUCAAAAGCUUACACUAGUACAUACCUGAGGAUUUGGGACAUAAAGAUUAUCUUUGUACUUGACUCGAGAUGAAUCUUCUAAAGCUGUUGCAGCACCAACCACGCCAGGAGGUAUUAUGGCAUACCCAGUUGGAUUAGCAUAAUUUCCAAAGCCUGCAGGAUUUCCGGCGGGAACGGGCUUGAACUGCUGAACUCCAUAUUUAAGGCUGUUGGCAUUAAGAUGGGAACCGCCUCCAGGCAUCAACACGUAACUGCUUCCAUUUGAUGGGUGAGGAUAGGAUUGAUUACUUGAAUAUCCGGGCAUGCCCAUAGGUGGAACAUAGACUGGUGACAGAAACUGGCGAUAUGGCAUAAGGUUAGCAUAAUGUGAAACAUGAACUUGUGGAUACAUCUGCGCAAUAGGAGGUUGCUGUUGUUGAAUCAAGGGUAUUGCUGA
rnacentral:lncRNA from 1 species